UGAGGAAUAUUGGACAAUGGGCGCAAGCCUGAUCCAGCCAUGCCGCGUGCAGGAAGAAGCAUCUAUGGUGUGUAAACUGCUUUUGUACGGGAAGAAACACUCCUACGUGUAGGAGCUCGACGGUACCGUAAGAAUAAGGAUCGGCUAACUCCGUGCCAGCAGCCGCGGUAAUACGGAGGAUCCAAGCGUUAUCCGGAAUCAUUGCGUUUAAAGGGUCCGUAGGUGGUUUAAUAAGUCUGUGGUGAAAGCCCAUCGCUCAACGAUGGAACGGCCAUUGAUAGUGCUAGACUUGAAUUAUUAGGAUGUGACUAGCAUAUGUAGUGUAGCGGUGAAAUGCUUAGAUAUUACAUGGAAUACCAAUUGCGAAGGCAAGUUACUUCUAAUGGAUAGACGCUGAUGGAAGAAAGCGUGGGGAGCGAACA
rnacentral:rRNA from 1 species